CUGCUUGAAGCAGAGGAGAAAGUUAUUUCUGAAGGCACAAUACAAGCAAAGUAGAAGAUCAGCUGUUCAGAGAAUUCAACUGAAAAGUCAGAUGAGGAGUGGAGGAAAGCUUGAAUGGUGGAGAGUUUCGUUUUCCUUCCCACAGUACUUUUUUUUUAAAUAAAAAAAUUACCAUCUUA